UCCUACGGGAGGCAGCAGUGGGGAAUAUUGCACAAUGGGGGAAACCCUGAUGCAGCAACGCCGCGUGAGUGAAAAAGUCAUUCGUGAUGUAAAGCUCUAUCAGCAGGGAAGAAAAUGACGGUACCUGAGUAAGAAGCCCCGGCUAACUACGUGCCAGCAGCCGCGGUAAUACGUAGGGGGCAAGCGUUAUCCGGAUUUACUGGGUGUAAAGGGAGCGUAGACGGCCAGACAAG
rnacentral:rRNA from 1 species